rnacentral:rRNA from 1 species
CAGUCGCCGCGGGAAUACGAAGGGGGCUAGCGUUGUUCGGAAUUACUGGGCGUAAAGCGCACGUAUGCGGACAUUUAAGUCAUGGGUGAAAUCCCGGGGCUCAACCCUGGAACUGCCUUUGAUACUGGGUGUCUAGAGUAUGGAAGAGGUGAGUGGAAUUCCGAGUGUAGAGGUGAAAUUCGUAGAUAUUCGGAGGAACACCAGUGGCGAAGGCGGCUCACUGGUCCAUUACUGACGCUGAGGUGCGAAAGCGUGGGGAGCAAACAGGAUUAGAUACCCCAGUAGUCCCUGUCUCUUAUAC